UUUUAUGAGAGUUUGAUCCUGGCUCAGGACGAACGCUGGCGGCGUGCCUAAUACAUGCAAGUCGAACGCUUCUUUUUCCACCGGAGCUUGCUCCACCGGAAAAAGAGGAGUGGCGAACGGGUGAGUAACACGUGGGUAACCUGCCCAUCAGAAGGGGAUAACACUUGGAAACAGGUGCUAAUACCGUAUAACAAUCAAAACCGCAUGGUUUUGAUUUGAAAGGCGCUUUCGGGUGUCGCUGAUGGAUGGACCCGCGGUGCAUUAGCUAGUUGGUGAGGUAACGGCUCACCAAGGCCACGAUGCAUAGCCGACCUGAGAGGGUGAUCGGCCACAUUGGGACUGAGACACGGCCCAAACUCCUACGGGAGGCAGCAGUAGGGAAUCUUCGGCAAUGGACGAAAGUCUGACCGAGCAACGCCGCGUGAGUGAAGAAGGUUUUCGGAUCGUAAAACUCUGUUGUUAGAGAAGAACAAGGAUGAGAGUAGAACGUUCAUCCCUUGACGGUAUCUAACCAGAAAGCCACGGCUAACUACGUGCCAGCAGCCGCGGUAAUACGUAGGUGGCAAGCGUUGUCCGGAUUUAUUGGGCGUAAAGCGAGCGCAGGCGGUUUCUUAAGUCUGAUGUGAAAGCCCCCGGCUCAACCGGGGAGGGUCAUUGGAAACUGGGAGACUUGAGUGCAGAAGAGGAGAGUGGAAUUCCAUGUGUAGCGGUGAAAUGCGUAGAUAUAUGGAGGAACACCAGUGGCGAAGGCGGCUCUCUGGUCUGUAACUGACGCUGAGGCUCGAAAGCGUGGGGAGCGAACAGGAUUAGAUACCCUGGUAGUCCACGCCGUAAACGAUGAGUGCUAAGUGUUGGAGGGUUUCCGCCCUUCAGUGCUGCAGCAAACGCAUUAAGCACUCCGCCUGGGGAGUACGACCGCAAGGUUGAAACUCAAAGGAAUUGACGGGGGCCCGCACAAGCGGUGGAGCAUGUGGUUUAAUUCGAAGCAACGCGAA
rnacentral:rRNA from 1 species